AACGCAAAUUGCGCUCGAGGCCUCGGCCGAGAGCAUGCCUGCCUCAGUGUCGGUUUCACCCUCGCCACCCCUUUCUCUGUCUCCGGACAUGAGAGAGGGGUGCGGAUCUGGCCGUCCCGGUCUUUCUGAUCGGGUCUGCUGAAGCGCAGAGGCUUGAGCGGGAUUCCCUUCCAAUGUGGGAACAACAGACCGGUAGGUGAGCCCUUCUCCUCGAGAAGGAUCGCAUGCCGCUGCUGGACCCAGGGACCCGCUGGACGCCCAGCAGGAGACGGUGUGAUGGUGGUUCCCAACAAGGAUCCAUCAAAACCCCGAUUACUCAACCAUUCGACCUGAGUUCAGGCAAGGGCACCCGCUGAACUUAA
rnacentral:misc_RNA from 1 species